ensembl:snoRNA SCARNA3 small Cajal body-specific RNA 3
AAUGGAACCUGCAGGAACCAACCACGUGGACAAAUGAAAAACGCCUUCUGUCUACAAAUUGCAGUGACCCUCCAUAAACAUGGAGGGCUCUGUCUGGCUUAAGACAGCCGACCGUGUCUGAUCGUCCCUCUCCACACGGC